ACGCUCGACACCUACGGAAGGCAGCAGUGGGGAAUAUUGCACAAUGGGGGAAACCCUGAUGCAGCGACGCCGCGUGAGUGAAGAAGUAUUUCGGUAUGUAAAGCUCUAUCAGCAGGGAAGAAGAUGACGGUACCUGAGUAAGAAGCCCCGGCUAACUACGUGCCUGCAGCCGCGGUAAUCUGAGCGGGCUGGCAAGGC
rnacentral:rRNA from 1 species